rnacentral:tRNA from 1 species
GCGCCGGUGGUGUAAUGGCGUAGAGCAUUUCCGGCCGGUCAGCAGGAGGUGCGGGUUCGAGUCCCGCCUGGCGCU